rnacentral:rRNA from 1 species
ACGGUGAGGGAUGAAAGCUGGGGGAGCGAACCGGAUUAGAUACCCGGGUAGUCCCAGCUGUAAACGAUGCAGGCUAGGUGUUUGGACGGCCACGUGCCAUUCUAGUGCCGCAGGGAAGCUGUUAAGCCUGCCGCCUGGGGAGUACGAUCGCAAGAUUGAAACUUAAAGGAAUUGGCGGGGAAGCACCAC